UGUGUGUGUGUGUGUGUGUGUGUGGACUCAGCAGUCUGUGUGUGUGUGUGUGUGUAUGGACUCAGCAGUCUGUGUGUCUGUGUGUGUGUGUAUGGACUCAGCACUCUGUGUGUGUGUAUGGACUCAGCAGUCUGUUUGUCUGUGUGGAUUCAGCAGCCUGCGUGUGUGUGUGUGUGUAUGGACUCAGCAGUCUGUGUGUCUGUGUGUGUGUG